AUCCUGAUGACGGGUCCCAAAUAAGACGAAAUGCGCUUCGUGGAU
rfam:Trichobilharzia regenti genome assembly, scaffold: TRE_scaffold0006543